UGAGGAAUAUUGGUCAAUGGACGCAAGUCUGAACCAGCCAUGCCGCGUGCAGGAAGACGGCUCUAUGAGUUGUAAACUGCUUUUGUACGAGGGUAAACUCACCUACGUGUAGGUGACUGAAAGUAUCGUACGAAUAAGGAUCGGCUAACUCCGUGCCAGCAGCCGCGGUAAUACGGAGGAUUCAAGCGUUAUCCGGAUUUAUUGGGUUUAAAGGGUGCGUAGGCGGUUUGAUAAGUUAGAGGUGAAAUCCCGGGGCUUAACUCCGGAACUGCCUCUAAUACUGUUAGACUAGAGAGUAGUUGCGGUAGGCGGAAUGUAUGGUGUAGCGGUGAAAUGCUUAGAGAUCAUACAGAACACCGAUUGCGAAGGCAGCUUACCAAACUAUAUCUGACGUUGAGGCACGAAAGCGUGGGGAGCAAACA
rnacentral:rRNA from 2 species